GAUGAACGCUGGCGGCGUGCCUAAUACAUGCCAGUCGAGCGAACAGACGAGGAGCUUGCUCCUCUGACGUUAGCGGCGGACGGGUGAGUAACACGUGGAUAACCUACCUAUAAGACUGGGAUAACUUCGGGAAACCGGAGCUAAUACCGGAUAAUAUAUUGAACCGCAUGGUUCAAUAGUGAAAGACGGUUUUGCUGUCACUUAUAGAUGGAUCCGCGCCGCAUUAGCUAGUUGGUAAGGUAACGGCUUACCAAGGCAACGAUGCGUAGCCGACCUGAGAGGGUGAUCGGCCACACUGGAACUGAGACGCGGUCCAGACUCCUACGGUAGGCAGCAGUAGGCAAUCUUCCGCAAUGGGCGAAAGCCUGACGGAGCAACGCCGCGUGAGUGAUGACGGUCUUCGGAUCGUAAAACUCUGUUAUUAGGGAAGAACAAAUGUGUAAGUAACUAUGCACGUCUUGACGGUACCUAAUCAGAAAGCCACGGCUAACUACGUG
rnacentral:rRNA from 1 species